rnacentral:siRNA from 1 species
CAUAAACGCUGUGUUUGCCGGA